rnacentral:misc_RNA from 1 species
AUAGAAGCAGGUAACUCAUAAAUAGUGUCAGGCUUAUGGGGCAUUGUGGAUAUUGUUGCUGGCUCUAUUGCCUCUCCAUCCUGCACCACUCUGGCACUCUCUUUUUCACAUCUUUUGUUGGGAUGGUUACCUCUUGCUCAAACAGUUUAUAUUGCACCUGCCAUCUGCAAAAUGCUCAAUUGGUAACUUGAUGUAGAUUGUGUUUUGCCGGUAGUGAAGAACUUA